rnacentral:snRNA from 1 species
GUACUCUGGUUUCUCUUCAGAUCGUAUAGAUAUUUUGCCUUUUACUAAGGAUUUCUCUGGAGAGGAACAUUUAUGAGUUUGCAACUAAUUUUUUGAGAUCCUGUUGUUAAAUUACACAC